rnacentral:rRNA from 1 species
UACGUAGGGUGCGAGCGUUGUCCGGAAUUAUUGGGCGUAAAGAGCUUGUAGGCGGUUUGUCGCGUCUGCUGUGAAAAUCCGGGGCUCAACCCCGGACUUGCAGUGGGUACGGGCAGGCUAGAGUGUGGUAGGGGAGACUGGAAUUCCUGGUGUAGCGGUGAAAUGCGCAGAUAUCAGGAGGAACACCGGUGGCGAAGGCGGGUCUCUGGGCCGUAACUGACGCUGAGGAGCGAAAGCGUGGGGAGCGAACAGG